GGUAUAUUUUGCUCAGGCUCAAGAGGCGCUCGACUACCCGAAGGGCACAAGUGCCGAUUCGCGUCAUGAAAGUGUUCAUCGAUGAUCAUCGCGAUAUCUAUAGGGUCGAGCCAGUCUGCAAGGUAUUGCCGAUUACCCCC
rfam:Methylomonas denitrificans strain FJG1, complete genome.